GGGGGUGAAAUUGGCUUCGACGGGUUUAUUUGAUCAUUGAACUGCGCACCGUGAUCUCCGAACUCACGUAAAUCAUCGGAAACAAAAAUGAAAUGACAAUUAUAAUUACGCUUUAGCUGCGUAACCAAAAGUUAGCAGCCGUUCCCUGAAUCUCCUCGUAUCGGGAAUCAGAUGAACGCCGUUAGAUACGAUAGCCGAGUCGAGUGUCUGCGUAGACAGAGCGAAACAUUAGUGGGCUAGUUUUAAUAAAUCCUGUUUAUUGGAGUUAUUAAGGCGAAAUCAAACAAUAAACUAUGUGUGUAGACGUUUGAUGUGGGGUAAAUUCGGACCCGGGUUCAACUCCCGGCACCUCCACCA
rnacentral:tmRNA from 1 species